rnacentral:misc_RNA from 1 species
AAGUCGGAACAAGGUUUCCGUAGGUGAACCUGCGGAAGGAUCAUUAACACGUAUCCAACGUUAAAAACUCCGUGCAUAUUAACCCUGCUCUCUUCGGCCUUGAUAAGCAAUCUUUGGUAAAUCACACAGAACAGUUUGAUUCAGCGGUAGAGCAAAUAGACUUGGUUUCCGAAAGGAUAACUGAUACUUACUCAGAUCGUUGCCCUCGGUCAACGGACAAGUCUCUGGGGCUUCGGCUCCCUUCUAUUUAACCCCUGUAUGUGAAAGUCGGCUUGCAAACUACAGGCCCACAAAACGAACAACUGUUAACAUGGAUAUCUUGGUUCUC